rnacentral:rRNA from 1 species
UACGUAGGGUGCGAGCGUUGUCCGGAUUUAUUGGGCGUAAAGCGAGCGCAGGUGGUUUAAUAAGUCUGAUGUAAAAGGCAGUGGCUCAACCAUUGUGUGCAUUGGAAACUGUUAGACUUGAGUGCAGUAGAGGAGAGUGGAAUUCCAUGUGUAGCGGUGAAAUGCGUAGAUAUAUGGAGGAACACCGGUGGCGAAAGCGGCUCUCUGGCCUGUAACUGACACUGAGGCUCGAAAGCGUGGGGAGCAAACAGG